rnacentral:rRNA from 1 species
UACGUAGAAGGCGAACGUUAUCCGGAUUUACUGGGCGUAAAGCGGGUGUAGACGGCUUUGUAAGUCAGUUGUGAAAUCUCCCGACUCAAUCGGGAGCGUGCAAUUGAUACUGGAGAGCUUGAGGGCAUCAGAAGAAGCAGAAUUCACGGUGUAGCGGUGAAAUGCGUAGAUAUCGUGAGGAAUACCAGUGGCGACGGCGGCUUUCUAGGGUGCUCCUGACGUUGAGGCCCGAAAGUGUGGGGAGCGAAACGG